UGGUUCUGGCAUCGAUGAAGAACGCAGCGAAAUGCGAUAAGUAAUGUGAAUUGCAGAAUUCAGUGAAUCAUCGAAUCUUUGAACGCACAUUGCGCCCGCCAGUAUUCUGGCGGGCAUGCCUGUUCGAGCGUCAUUUCAACCCUCGGGACCCCUUCGGGGGACCCGGCGUUGGGGAUCGGCGGCCCUCCGGGGCCCCGCCGGCCCCGAAAUACAGUGGCGGUCUCGCUGCAGCCUCCCCUGCGUAGUAGAAACACCUCGCACCGGAACGCAGCGCGGCCACGCCGUUAAACCCCCAACCUUCUGAAUGUUGACCUCGGAUCAGGUAGGAAUACCCGCUGA
rnacentral:misc_RNA from 1 species